CAGCAGCCGCGGGUAAUACAGAGGGUGCGAGCGUUAAUCGGAUUUACUGGGCGUAAAGCGUGCGUAGGCGGCUUCUUAAGUCGGAUGUGAAAUCCCUGAGCUUAACUUAGGAAUUGCAUUCGAUACUGGGAAGCUAGAGUAUGGGAGAGGAUGGUUGAAUUCCAGGUGUAGCGGUGAAAUGCGUAGAGAUCUGGAGGAAUACCGAUGGCGAAGGCAGCCAUCUGGCCUAAUACUGACGCUGAGGUACGAAAGCAUGGGGAGCAAACAGGAUUAGAUACCCCCGUAGUCCCUGUCUCUUAUA
rnacentral:rRNA from 1 species